CAAAAACAUGUCCUUUAGGAUUGAAUUUAAGGUCUAGCCUGCCCACUGAAUUAUUAAAUGGCCGCAGUAUUUUAACUGUGCAAAGGUAGCAUAAUCAUUAGUCUUUUAAUUGAAGGCUUGUAUGAAUGGUUGGACAAAAUAUAUAUUGUUUCAUUUAAAUUUAUAGAAUUUUAUUUUUUAGUUAAAAAGCUGAAAUUUAAUUAAAAGACGAGAAGACCCUAUAGAUCUUUAUAAUUGUUGAAUUUAAUUUAUGAAGAAUAUUUUAUUUUUUAUUUAUAUAAUUAUUUUAUUGGGGUGAUAGUAAGAUUUAUUUAACUCUUGUAUAAUUUAAUACAUAAAUUAAUGAUUAAUUGAUCCAGUAUUAUUGAUUAGUAAAAUAAGUUACCUUAGGGAUAACAGCGUAAUUUUUUUAGAGAGUUCAUAUCGAUAAAAAAGAUUGCGACCUCGAUGUUGGAUUAAGAGAUAAGUUUGGGCGCAGCCGUUCAAAUUUAAAGUCUGUUCGACUUUUUGAUUCUUACAUGAU
rnacentral:rRNA from 1 species